GGACUCGUCCCUGGGAAGUUGACCGUUCGGGAAACACGGCCCUCGAAGUCAUGGUACCUCUCAGUGGGAUCUUCCUUUCCUAAAUGAGGAACGGGACUCAAAGAGGAACACCCCAAGGUCAUACAGCGAGUCUGUGGCUAGUCAUGGGUCUGCUCACACUUCCAGCAGUAGGUGACCUUCUGACUCAGAGCUCCGCUGCUGGGAAAUGCCACCAGAGCUUUCCUCUCUGUGUCUCCUGACAUCCAGGGUGUGCAGUUAGGGUCUUUCUGCGAAGCACAUGCUACCACUAAAACUCAUGAUCCUCCUGCCUCAGCGUCCAGAGCA
ensembl:processed_transcript Gm15850 predicted gene 15850